AACGCACCUUGCGCUCUUUGGUAUUCCGAAGAGCAUGCCUGUUUGAGUGUCAUGAAAAUAUCAACCUUGACUUGGGUUUUGUGCUCCAGUCUCGGCUUGGAAUUGGGUGCUUGCCGCUUUUACGAGCGGCUCACCUUAAAUGUAUUAGCUGGAUCUGUCUUUGAGACUUGGUUUGACUUGGCGUAAUAAGUAUUUCGCUGAGGACAUUCUUCGGAGUGGCCUCGUUUCUAGGACGCUUGUCCGCUUUCCAAUACAAGUUCCACCUCGUGGACAUGACUUUUUAUUAUCUGGCCUCAAAUCAGGUAGGACUACCCGCUGAACUUAA
rnacentral:misc_RNA from 1 species